rnacentral:rRNA from 1 species
GCAAGUCGAACGGGAAACUUUUGGAGCUUGCUUUGAAAGUUUCUAGUGGCGAACGGGUGAGUAACACGUGAGCAACCUGCCUAGAAGAGGGGGAUAGCCCGAGGAAACUCGGAUUAAUACCGCGUAUGGUACUGUAGGACAUCCUGCAGGAAUCAAAGGUGGCCUUUGUGCUGCCGCUUCUAGAUGGGCUCGCGGCCUAUCAGCUAGUUGGUGAGGUAAAAGCUCACCAAGGCGACGACGGGUACCUGGUCUGAGAGGACGAUC